AAUCUACGGGCGAAUCAUUGGCAGGAGGUUGCUGAUGAUGUUGGUUCUAGAUGCCCUGUUGAUCCACCGAAGACCGCUGUGCAAUGCCGGCAUAAGAUGGAGAAGCUUCGGAAACGUUAUCGUGCUGAAAUCCAGCGUGCUGCUCCGUAUGGUGGGCCUCGAUCUCAUCGUUAUUGCUCUGCUUGGGUGCAUUUUAAGCGUAUGGAUAUGAUGGAGAGAGGUCCUAAUGCUGUUUCUCCGCCGCCCAGUGAGGAUGAAGCUGAUGAGGAUGUAGAAGAUUACCAUCAAAACGGCGUUAAACUUGUUGGGGAUUUGUAUGGUAACAAUGUGCAUGCGGGUAAUCGGAGUAGUUUCCAAGGGGUUGUGAGUAAUGGAGGAGGCGGGUUUAGGAUCCGGAUACCUGGGAUGCCCGGGUUAGCUCCUCCAAUGGCGAAACCGUAUAGUAGAUUUGAGGAGGCUCGAGUUGAAACCCCUAGUAAUUUUGGGUCUAGUCAGAUGUUCAGGGAUGGAUUCGUGAAGAAAGCUGAUUUGGGGAAAAGGGUUGUUGGUGAAGGAGUGAGGGAGAAGAAAAAGGAGGAUCCCAUGGUGGAAAUGGUGGCUGCGAUAAAGGUAUUAGGUGAUGGAUUCGUCCGAAUGGAGAGGAUGAAGAUGGACGCGGCAAGAGAGUUGGAACGGAUGAGAAUGGAAAUGGAGA
rnacentral:misc_RNA from 1 species